CGUGCAAUUCCCAAAUUCAAACCUUAUUCAAACAUCUUCACCCCCAAAUUCAAAACCCUCGUCCGCCACCCUAAUCGUGCAAUUCCCUCAGGUGACCUCGAUCAUCAUUCAUCCUCAAAUUGAAUAUCUCUAGCCCCACCGCCCUACCUUCCUCCCACCGUGCGGCAUCUCCUCUGCGUGAGUCCACAGCGCCGUUUACUCUGAAUUGCUGUAUCGACCGUCAAAGUCUGUUGCGCCGUCGAGCUCUGAAUCGCUCUCCACCGACGUGCGCCGUCGAGAUCGAGUCUCUCACCUGUAUUGUAGCUCCUAAAUUGAAUUACUCUCCACCGUCGCGCUAUCUCCGCCAUGGAAUUAGCACUGCGUUGCCGUUUGAAACUUCACGGUGUUGUUGAUUCCAACGAUGAUCCUAGCUAGCAGAUUUAGUUGAGAGUGAAUUCUUGGGAGAAUAGGUAAAAUAAAUUACUCAAGAUGACAGAUGACAAGAUGAAUAGAGGAGAUGGUGCUCUAAGAGGAGAUAGCCUUUGAGUCUUCUAGCAGCACUGGCCACGUCACAAUGAGGUUUUGGAAUUAGCAUCGAACUUUCUUCCUCUGAGCUUGCAUGGAUUCUUGAUUUACAGCGAUUGUGAUGCGUGGUAAUGUGGUGAAUACCUCUACGUUUAUUACCAAAUGCUUUUAAUUUCUUGAUUGUUAACUUGUAAUUGUAGUUUUUGUACUCUGUAACUUUUACCCUUAAAAGACAACUCUUGUUUUUCUUUUUCAGCUUCAAUGAAGUGGUAAUGUCUGUAGUUCAAAGUGUUGCAUCAUUGAUUUUAGAAGCUGUCUUGCCUUUGGGAAAAAGAAGUGAAUAAAAUUUGUGGUGGUGAAGUUCUGCAUAGUUCAAUACUACCUAUGGUUCCAAAAUUAGAUUAGUCAUCUACUCAUAACUAAUUUUGAUGUUCCUUGGCUUUGAGGUAAACAUCAUUGCUUUAACAUUUUGAAUGCUUGAGAUGCUGCAGAUUUCAAAAAAAAAAAAAAAGACAAUCUUGCCAGGGGAUAUCAAGAUGGCAGAUUUCAAGCAAUUUCUUGUGGUCAAGGGAUUCAGAUAAAGAACUUGGAUCCUUUGCCCAGGCAUGCUAUUGCUGCUGCCCACUCCAAAUCUUUAAGGUGAAUUUGAUCCUUCAAGGCUUUACUGUUUAUAUUUGGUUGGGGCUAUACCACAAGUGCGUUCAUUUCAUAUUUUCAACAGACAAACAUGACAAGUUUCCAGUUAAUGUCGAAUCUAAGCUUUUAUCUUUUCAACCUGAAGGUAUCAAGUAAGUAAUAGCUCUCCAUAAUUUGAUUAUCCUCACAUUCAGCUUAGGACUGCAGUUUGUGUCUUAAUCCUUAGUGACAUCAACAUUUAUUAAUCAGUUCCAUCUGAAUCUCAUUUAAGUAUAUGUUCUUCUCAGGUUCAUAUUGCAGCAUGGAGUGGGGAUCCUUUUCGAUGAUGAAAUGGGGCUAGAAAGAGUCUUUAGGCACUAGGCGUUUUAUAAGUUUGUGCUUUGUUCCUUGUAUUCUCUUAAUCUAGAUCUUGUUGUCAAGAUAGAUUUGUGUAUAACAACUUUGGAAAAUGAAUUUCAUUUUCUGUAUUGCAAAUCAAUAAAAUAUACUAUUUGUUCC